UUGGACGAUCGGGAGAGAGGGAAGGCUCUCCAGGACCAGAGGAGUCGCGGGAGAAGCCCUCCAAGUGUAGGGGCGCUCGGUGACUCCCGCGUAGGCAGGCGGGGAGGGACCGCGCCAGCAGGGCGCGCCCCGGGAGCCGGCGCUGGGGAGGCGAGCGCACGCGACCCCUUUGUGUGCGGGCCCGAGUACACUCCGGGGGCGGCGGCGGCGCACGAAACUCACCCACGGUGGCCCGCAUGUGGAAAUCUUCCGGCCGACUGUCAAGGUUAAGAAAACUGGCCUUCAAGUCCAACCACCCUGACGUUGCAUCCUGGCUACGCCUAUGUAACAAACCCAUGUGAUGAAAACAGCACAAGAUAUUUCCUGUAAGGAGCUUAUGAUAACGUCUGACGUCUGGUUUCACACAGCAUGUAAAUAAUGCACGGGGCUGUCCGCGUCCGUCAGACCUUAAGUCCUUUUCUCUUCGAGAGUCUCCCGUGAGUCAUUUGAAAUCCGCUCUGCAAACACCAUCUCAAAUCACCUAACGGCGUUUCUGUGGUCAUUGAGAUAAGCAGAAAGAAACCACGGUCAACAGGCCCACCCGCAAACAGGGCAGAACAUGAACAUGUUGACAGCAGGUGGGUUUCAUGUUACGGGGUUACGGUCACGUGAGGCACUCCACGUCUAAACACGGGAGCCAGCCAGCCAGCAAGUUUUCUUCCAAACGUGGGGGACACUUAAGCGGGUGGUCCCGGGUGGGGACACACGGGAGCCUUGAGUUUUGUGAUGGGUUGUGAACAGGAAACUCAUUUCAAAAGUCUGGGAAAGACACAGGCAAGAACGCAGGAGACUUCCCUGGUGGUCCGGAGGUUACAAAUCUGCCUUGCAGCCCACGGGACGCGGGUUCAAUCCCUGGUCGGAGAGCUAAGAUCCCACGGGCUCUGGAACAACGAAGUCUGUGAACCACAACUAGAGGACUACACGCCACAAGCAAAGACCCAACCUGUGAUGCCAUGGAGACUCCACAAGGUGCAAAUAAGACCCAGAAAGCCAAAUAAAUUAAAAGAAAAAACAACAAUUCACAGUAUAAGGAAGGACUGGCGUAGAUAAUCCAACCUGAGUGUGGCUUUGAAAGGAGUUAUGAGACCUGUAAAAGAAAAAGGUAAAUGUAUAUCAGGGAAUAACCAACUAUUUAAAAAAGAAUGCCAAAGUCUGCGUCACGAAGGACUUUGUCUUCCUGGGAGGGAGAAGGGUUCCCAGAACCUGGACGCUUAGAGGGCUGUGUGGUCAGCCCCGCCCCCCCGCCCCCACCCCCUGCAAUCCGCCCUCACCUUCCUCUCUUCUGCUGGGAAACCCCUCCUUUGUGACUCACGGGAAACCAGAGGGCAGGAAAUCUCUCCAAGCUAUCCACCCAGGUCACUCCCGGUUGCUGCUCAGUCACUCAGUCGUGUCUGACUCUUUGCGACCCCAUGGACUGCAGCACGCCAGGCCUCCCUGUCCAUCACCAACUCCCGGAGCUUGUUCAAACUCACGUCCAUCGAGUCGGUGAUGCCAUCCAAACAUCUCACCCUCAGUCGCCCCCUUCUCCUCCCGCCUUCAAUCUUUCCCAGCAUCGGGGUCUUCUCCAGUGAGUCAGCUCUUCGCAUCAGGUGGCCAAAGGAUUGGAGUUUCAGCUUCAGCAUCAGUCCUUCCCAUGAACACCCAGGACUGAUUUCCUUUAGGAUGGACGGGUUGGAUCUCCUUGCAGUCCAAGGGACUCUCAAGAGUCUUCUCCAACACCAGAGUUCAAAGCCACCAAUUCUUUGGUGCUCAGCUUUCUUUAUGGUCCAACUCUCACAUCCAUACACGCCUACUGGAAAAACCAUAGCUUUGAUUAGAUGGACCUUUGUUGCAAAGUAAUCUGUCUGCUUUUUAAUACUGUCUAGGUUGGUCAUGAGUUGACUCCAUUUAGCAUACUGUCCUCCAGGUUCAUUCAAGUUGUUGGAAAUGUCUGAACUUUUCUUCUUUUUUAAGACUGAAUAAUACUGCAUUGGGCUUCCCUGGUGGCUCAGAGAUUAAAGCGUCUGCAUGCAAUGCAGGAGACCUGUGUUCGAUCCCUGAGUCGGGAAGAUCCCCCGGAGAAGAAAAUGGCCACGCACUCCAGUAUUCUUGCCUGGAGAAUCCCAUGGAGGGAGGAGCUUGGUAGGCUACAGUCCACGGGGUCGCAAAGAGUCGGACACCACUGAGCGACUUCACUCACUCACUAAUACUGCAUUGCAUAUAUUUAUAUGUAUAUACACACACAUACAUACACCAAAAUUUCUUUAUUGAUUCAGCCAGCAGCAGACACUUAGAUUGUUCCAUGUGUUAAUGACUUAUGUUAAUAAUGCAAUGGGGACUUCCCUGCUGGGACAGUGGAUAAGAAUUUGCCCGCCAGUGCAGGGGAUCCCUGGUCCGGGAAGAUUCCACCUGCCACGGAACAGCUAAGCCCGAGAGCCACAAUGCAUGUUCACAGAUCUAGAGCCUGUGAUCUGCAGCACAAGAAGCCACUUCAAGAAACAGCUAGAGAAACUAGAAUACUAGAGAGAGCCCAAGGGCGGCAAGGAAGACCCAGGGCAGCCAAAAAAUAAACCAAGAAAUGAUGCUGAAGCGGAUAUCAGAGGGCAGAAAUCUCUUUGAGACACACGUUUCAUUUUCCUUGGGGAUGUGCGUGUGCGUGUUAGGCGCUCAGUCGUGUCCGACUCUCUGCGACCCCAUGGACUGUAGCCCCACCAGGCUCCUCUGUCCUUGGAACUCUCCAGGCAAGAAGACAGGAGUGGGUUGCCAUUUCCAUCUCCAGGGAGUCUUCGUGACCCAGGGAUGGAACCCAGGUCUCCCGUAUGAGCAGGCAGAUUCUUUACCGCAUGAGCCACCAGGGGGGCCCUUCCCUGGGGACAUAUGGACUUUUAUUCAUUUAAAAUGAGGGAUGGUCACCCACUGUCAAGUUAGAAUAACCACACCAGGUGAUGUAUAAAGGAGGUCGUAUCCGUGACUGUACCUGAUAACCCACCACCCUCCAAACCCCUCAUAGGCAAGUUCAAGGCAAACGUCAUUUUCAAGAUGAUGCUCUGUUCCGCAAAGGCAAUUUCUCUUGUCCCAGGAUUAGAGACAAGCUCGUCCAUCUUUGCCUAAACGCCCUGUCUGGCAGGGCAGCCUGUGUUUUUUGUUGUUGUUGUUGUUGUUUUUUUCCCUCAUCUCAUUAGACACACAGACGUCUGAGCCAUUAUCUCCAGAACGGCUUCUGCUCAUUGUGGUUUUGGCUGUGCUGGAACAGUAAUGUGAUUCCGGAAACCAGACACCAAAUAUGAUGUGAAACUACUUUACGAGAAAGGGACGCCAGACGCGGUGGGUCUUGAACGUCAGGGUGGUUCAGAAAGACGCAGGACCUGUGAAAAGCUUUUUUUUUUUAAAAGUCAUUUUAAUUAUUUGUUUUUUGGCUGUGUACUGAUUUAUUUAGUUUUGGCUGCGCUAUGCCUUGGUUGCUGGGUACAAGCUUUUCUCUAGUUGCAAUGAGCUGGGGAUCAUUGUUAUGGGUUAAUUGUUUAUAGCUGUGGUUCCUCAUUGCAGUGGCUUCUGUCACUGCUAGACCACAGAUUCUAGGGCACACCAGAUUCAGUAGCUGUGACCCCCAGACUCUAUGGCACAGGCUCAAUAAUGGUGGCAUACGGGCUGAGUUACUCCAAGGCAAGUGGGAUCUUUCCGGCCCAGGGAUCGGACCUGUGUCUCCUGCGUGGCUACGCAGAUUCUUUACCACUGAGCCGCCAGGGAAACCCUGAAAGCAGUUUUUAUUUCAGUGGGUCUUGCAGGGUGGUUUGUAUUUGGCUUGAAGACUUGCAUUUGGAUCAAGUUUCUAGGUUGCCUUGAUGCUGCUGGCACAAGAACUGGCUUUGGAAACUGCUUAGAAGGGUUUCUGAUUCUUUUUAUUUUUUUUUUUAGUUCUACCAGUUUAUUGCUACCAACCCAUCUCCCUCCACCCUCAUGCAUACAUGCUCAGUCAUGUAAUCCCAUGGACUGCAGCACGCCUGACUUCCCUGUCCAUCACCAUCACCCGGAGCUUGCUCAAACUCAUGUCCACUGAGUCGGUGAUGCCAUCCAACCAUCUCAUCCUCUGUCGUCCCCUUCUCCUCCUGCCUUCAAUCUUUCCCAGCUGACUUUUCCAGUGAGUCAGCUCUUCACAUCAGGUGGCCAACGUGUUGGAGCUUCAGCUUCAGCAUCAGUCCUUCCAGUGAAUAGUCAGGGUUGGUUUCCUUUAGGAUGGACUGGGAUGGGUUUUGGUUCUCACCAGUAAUGAAAAUACACCCAUCUCUGACAGCAAAGUUUCCCAAACAACAGUGUCUAAUGGUACUGACAUUGUGCUUCCCUUCUGGUCUGUUCUCUAUAGCACUGAGUACAAUAAACUCACAUUUAGAACCUGAGCUUUGGUGGGAGGGGGGUUCAGUGUGGGGAACACAUGUAAAUCCAUGGCUGAUUUAUGUCAACGUAUGGCAAAAACCACUACAAUAUUGUCAAGUAAUUAGCCUCCAACUAAUAAAAAAAAAAAAUUUAGAAAAAGGAAAAUAAAAAAGAACCUGAGCUUUAAUUUCUUUAACUUUUUAUUUUGUAUUGGGGUAUAGCUGAUUAAAAGCGUUGUGAUAGUUUCAGGCGGACAGCCAAGGGACUCAGGCAUACGUGGACACGUAUCCACUCUCCCCCAGACCCCCCUCCCAUCCCGGCUGCCACGUGACAUUGAGCAGGGUUCCCUGUGCUGUCCAGCAGGUCCUUGCUGGUUCUCCAUGUUAAAUACAGCAGCAU